GGACUCAAAUAUCUUCUCAGCCUUAGCUAUCCAAUAGGACCAUUUUCAUCAUAGUUGGGCAAUUCAACUUUCUAAAAAUCCUUCUUAAACUCAUUUGGAACCUUAUCUUCAAGUUUCACCGAGUGAACAUCAAGAUGCCUUUGAUCACACAUUUUACUAUUUCUAACAUUCUUAGAACUUCCUGCAAGGUAGCCUCUUUUUUGCUUACCUAAAUCCUUCAACAAUCAAAGAAUUCCAUCCAUACUGUCAAGUUUCUCAUUUAUCCAAAAUCUCGCAUCUGAUUCUUGUGGUGGAAUUGGAACACUGCAUCUUGGCAUUCAUGUCUUCCAUGUUUCUUUCUCCAAUGAAAAUCGAGAGUGUUUUUUUGAGGCACCCAAUUUAAUCUCCCUCCUUUUGUUUAUUAUUAAUUGUAGAACAUAUUGCCUCCUAAACUGUGACUGCCUAUGCAGCUACUAUUAGAUCAGCCCUGCCUUUAAUUUUGUUUUAUUAUUUUCUAUCAGACCUUCAGAUCAUGAAAUUUAAUAUUCCAUGUAUUGUUAGCUAAGUCAUAGAAUUUUGUACUGGGCCUAACUCAACCUUACAAACCGGCUUGUAAGGUGAGGAUUGCUCCCACUUAUAAACAUAUUUUCAAGUCAUCUCUCAACCAAUGUGGGACUCUUAACACUAAGUAACAUGUACCUGUAAGCUUUUUCUUUCUUGCGGCAUGUACCUGUAACCUAACUUAAUAUUACUCCUUAAUACAUGUGUUUGCUAUUGUUGAAAACAACUGCCUUUAAAUUUAAUUGUUAGUGACUCACAAACAUACCAGUAAUAUAUACUUUUCUUUUUACAGAAAUACCUUCAACAUAAUUGAAUCUUAUUUUGUGACACUAUUGUAAUAUUAUGUUGAACUGGUGAACUAACAGUUUAAUUUUUCUGAUGGAACAGGUGCACGAGCGCUUCAUGAAGAACAUCAGCAAUAUGUGAGCUUCCUUUAAUGAAGCAUGUUCUGUAAUAAACUGUGUGACUAGUUUUAUUGGAAUAUUUAGAUUGUGAUUUUUUAGGGAGACAACUUGUUUCGUAUGGAUUUUGUGAAGUUCGACUAUUUUAUUUCUUUCGCUUCACUGAGAAUAAUUACAAGCAAUGCACAUUCCCAUUUAUUAUCAAGAGAAGUGCUACAUAAUGCAAUGUUUUUCAUACAAAUUGCACAAAAUUUGAGCAAAAUUAUGUACGGGAAAUCUUUGGAAGUGCUAGUGCUACAUAAUCCAUAAUCUGAUGCUCUCUCGGUUUCAAAACCAACGCAUUUUAG
rnacentral:lncRNA from 1 species